rnacentral:rRNA from 1 species
UACGUAGGGGGCAAGCGUUGUCCGGAAUCAUUGGGCGUAAAGAGCGUGUAGGCGGCUCGAUAAGUCUGCUGUGAAAGUCCAGGGCUCAACCCUGGAAGGCCGGUGGAAACUGUCGGGCUAGAGUCCGGAAGAGGCGAGUGGAAUUCCCGGUGUAGCGGUGAAAUGCGCAGAUAUCAGGAAGAACACCCGUGGCUAAGGCGGCUCUCUAGUACGGUACUGACGCUGAGACGCGAAAGCGUGGGGAGCUAACAGG